GUAUGUCUUAUACAGAUUACAAUAAUGCUGCAUUUGCAGCUAUGAAACACUGUAUGGUUUGUGUGUGUGUGUGUCUGUUUAUUUCUUAUAUUUGGCUGAUAUUGGAAGUACAUCUAUUUUGACACUGCUCACUCAAACUGAACAGUUGAUUGAAUGUUUUACAGCCAGCACUCAUAUCAUAGAGGCCCUGUUUACCCAGCGCAUUCUUCCACCCACCUCAGCUGUCAGCAGACCAGCCGCACUGUUACACUGUUGAGGUGGAUCAUUUUCCUCAGCACACCCCCUCGCUUGUCCUACUUGCCCUGUCAACUUCUGUUAAGGAUAGCAGACAGCAGCUGCAACAGCUACUGCAUAUCCUGACCCAUAAGAUUAAACCCAGCCGAGAUGAAAAGAUGUAAAGACACACUACAGCACUUUUUUGCCAUCUGUUUUACUAAUACAUUAUACUUGUAUUUAAUUUAUGGAUUCCUGGUGUUAAGGCCAGUGCACAUGUUGAUAAAGGUGUGCAGGUGUGAUCAGUGGAUUUUUGACAUAAAUUAGAGCACUUGUAUGAGACAUAUUCCUGUGCUCUUUAGUUAACAUGCAGGAUUUUACUUUUCACUUAUUGGUGCUGUCUUUGAGCUCUAGUCUUAAAUUUAUAUCUUGGGUUAGUUGGCUGCAUUCUGUGACUUUGCUGAUUCAGGAAGACAGAACACAGUGACCUGGCACUUGGUUUGUGCACUUGUAUGUUUCUCUGUGUUAGAUACAUUGUAAGAUAGAAACUGUGCGGUUGGUGUAACUCUUUGGCUCUUAAUUUUGCUCCAUGAAGGCUUAUAGUUGUGACACUUUUGUUGUGUCCUCAAAUAAAACUGAGUUGAAGUGUUUUGUUUGCUAAAGUUGUAAUCUAUUCUGUUCAUUAUAUCUGCAAUUAAAAACAUGCAACAUAGAUGUUUGCCAGAACAAAUUCUGAAUAAAUUAGACUAAAUUAGACAGAAUGUGUUUGGAUGAAGCAGAGCAAGUCAGUUCCUAUUGUCUGCAUCUAUCAGACUGAAAAACACAAGGACGGGAGCUAGAAGAAAAUAAUGACGAGGAAAACAAAUCCACAGAGGAAAAACUGAACAAGAAAUCAUGUAGAUAUUGAAAGUACUACUAGAACAACUGGAAGUAAGCAACAGAUGCUUUACUUAUUCCAAGUUAAAGGGACAGGGAUGAGAUCAUGUUAUAAAAAAUGAGGUUGUCAAAGUCUGAAGAGGAUUCUGCAUUUAUUCAGAGGCUGCCUUGUAUUACAAAUAAAAUUGUUUUUAAAAACUCAAUCUGGCUUGGUAAUGUCACAGUGUUGUGAUGAGGGACUUAGAUGCAGAUCACUGCAGGCAAAAAUCUAGACAAAAAGUGAGCCAUGAGCAAAAAACACAAAGGGCAUCUGGACUGGUAUACUGGGACACAUCGCUGGGCUGAUGUGUUGAUAUAAUUUUAUUUUAUUAUCAUAACUAUUUUCUUCUUGUCAAUAUAAUUAUGCUGGCAGUGGGCCAUGUUGAAGGGCUGCUGUGCAUGGCUCUGAAAAAGCUGGGGCAGAAAAGCUAAGAGAGAAAAUGAAAAAGAAACUAGAAAUAAAUACAGCAAAAUGUGUCAAAUUAACCAACAUGUCGGAGCAGCUGCAGCUUCUGCUGAUCCAUGAACAAUAGUACCUGCAAAAACUAGUAAAAUUAGUGAAAUUAUUCCUAUUAUAUAUUGUGAUUAUGUGACUUAUUAUGCUAUUUCUGUGUUUUCCAUAUACUACUGCACUGUUUUGACCAAUCAUUGUGGGCCAUUUGGACCACAAAUGCCAGGGCUGAAUGUUUUGUCCUGGUCCAGACCUGAUGCAAUGCAACACCUUAACAAAGUACACAGGGCGUACUGAACUAAGGGUACAAGACAUCGGUACAGAGAAUCAGGAAAAUACAAUUUAAAGUAGGAGCUAAGAAAAAAAUGGUAAAGAAAGGAGGCACCGAAAUAAGAAGGACGUAGACCAGAAACAGCUUAGAAGAGCUUAGAAAGAAAGUGACCGGACUUCUUUCUGUCUUUCUUUCAUGAAGACCUUUCAUCUCU
ensembl:lncRNA